GAAAGAGUUGUCAAGCAUUGGAAUAGGCUGCACAGAGAAGUGGUGAAAUCACCAUCCCUGUUGCUUUUCCAAAUUUUUUUCUUCUAAUGAGACUGCACAUCACAGAAGCAAACACAUACAAAUAAAACGGGCCGUUCUUCAUCUGUGGUUUUGAAGAAUGACCAGGGAUUGGAGAACAAGGCUACUACCUCUCCAUCCCACUGGCCAGGCUAGAAGUCCAUCAGUUGACUAUCAUCAGAAAGAAC